UACGAAGGGGGCUAGCGUUGCUCGGAAUCACUGGGCGUAAAGGGUGCGUAGGCGGGUUCUUAAGUCAGAGGUGAAAUCCUGGAGCUCAACUCCAGAACUGCCUUUGAUACUGGCGACCUUGAGUCCGGGAGAGGUGAGUGGAACUGCGAGUGUAGAGGUGAAAUUCGUAGAUAUUCGCAAGAACACCAGUGGCGAAGGCGGCUCACUGGCCCGGUACUGACGCUGAGGUGCGAAAGCGUGGGGAGCAAACAGG
rnacentral:rRNA from 1 species